rnacentral:tRNA from 1 species
CCCUGGUUAGCUCAUUUGGUAGAGCACUCCACCUGUAAUGGAGAGGUCCCGGGUUCGAUACCCGGACCAGGCG